UACGUAGGGGGCAAGCGUUGUUCGGAUUUAUUGGGCGUAAAGAGCGUGUAGGCGGCUUUGCAGGUCAGCUGUGAAAACUCGAGGCUUAACCUCGAGACGUCGGUUGAAACCGUAUGGCUAGAGUCCGGAAGAGGAGAGUGGAAUUCCCGGUGUAGCGGUGAAAUGCGCAGAUAUCGGGAAGAACACCCGUGGCGAAGGCGGCUCUCUGGGACGGUACUGACGCUGAGACGCGAAAGCGUGGGGAGCGAACAGG
rnacentral:rRNA from 1 species